CACUGGCGAAAAUUGUCAAAAUCAACUUUUUCAGAACUCCGAAAGUUAACCAAAGUCUUGCUAAAAUCCAAGGAGGAUUUAUUCAAGAAAAACAGCCAAAACUAGAACGUAUCCUCAGGGUAACUGAAGAGAUCACAGCGUCAAGGGAUUGGCAGACAUAGAGAAGAUUGAUAAAAGCCAGCAUUGGAAAGGAUGAGCGGAAUGAAUAUGUUCAUACACUGUUGGUAGGAAUAUACAUCGAGGCGAUACUUUUUGAGAGUAAUUUGUCGGUAUCUUCUAUAAUGAAAAAGUGUUCAUCACCUUUGAGUUAGUAAUUCCAAGUGGAUAGGUCCCAGGAGGGGAAGGUAGCUGCUCGUGGCCAAAUGGACCGGGCAAUAACUGGAGAGAGAGGGACCAGACUCGGGUACUAUGGCUGAAGACAUCAUGCU
rnacentral:lncRNA from 1 species